GAGCUUAGAAAAGGGGCUCAUAUGUUUAGAUAGGGGAUCCAGUUCUUGAGUAAACCAUUGUUGAGUUGGUACCAUAUGCAUAGAGUUUCAUCGAGUUGCAUGGAGUUGAAUUUUGAGUAUGAGAUGUAUAUUGAAAUAAAUGCAUAUGAUAUUUGUGUGUAAUAUGGUGUGUGAUUGAUAAGUGAAUGAUUUGUGAUUGAUGAGUUGGU
rnacentral:lncRNA from 1 species